GUACACACCGCCCGUCGCUAGUACCGAUUGAAUGGCUUAGUGAGGCCUCAGGAUCUGCUUAGAAGAGGGGGCGACUCCACUUCAGAGCGGAGAAUCUGGUCAAACUUGGUCAUUUAGAGGAACUAAAAGUCGUAACAAGGUUUCCGUAGGUGAACCUGCAGAAGGAUCA
rnacentral:rRNA from 1 species